rnacentral:lncRNA from 1 species
UUUCGUGAUAGAUUGAAUUAGGCUUAGUUUUUGUUGGACCAAGCCCAAUAAUUGCUAUCGUUAUAGAUUGAUUUAGACCCAAUUCUUGUUGGACCGAGCCCAAUAAUUGCUAUCGUCAUAACUUGGUUUAGGCCCAAUUCUUGUUGGAUCAAGCGCAACAUAUGUUGGCAUCCUAAUUUUGUUUCUGCCCAAUUCUUAAUGGAUUUUGGCAAACAUUUGCUAGCGUCAUAACUUUGUUUAGGCCCACUAAUUAAUGGGCCGAAAUUUGCUAUCAUCAUAACUUUGUUUUAGGCCCAAGAAAUUUCAUGGAUUUAGCCAACAAAAUUUUGGGCCCAGUUAUUUUUGGUGUAGCCCAGGUAGCGCCUAUAAUUAAAAUAUAAUCUAAUUUAACAUUAUAUACAAAUAAAUUCUAUAUUUGACAAUCCAAAUAAUUCAUACAUACCACACAUACAAAUAAAUGUUUCUCAUCACACUUCACACAUUAUUAGUCAUGUCCAAAAAAUAAGCACAAGCAUAUUAUCCCUAAGAUAUCACAGACCACUACACAUGAUAUCUCUUUGACCAAGAGCAAAGCUGGCCUAAGCGCUGAGAGGACAUGAGAAGAUACCUAAGAAACACAUUGACCUUAC